GGCUAUGUUUCAGUGAAGGUGGGAACUCGGAAUAGUACUAUGUGGAGUCUUUCACAAGAUGAGGGAAAGGAGUCAAGAAAGAACUAUAAAAGGAGACAAGAACUUCUACACAAUGGUUUCUUUACCCCUGCUGAAAAAACAUUUAGAAGUAUUGGAGAAGUUAAUCUGGACAAUGUGGAUCUCUUUACCCCCUGUUUAACCACUGAGGAUCAAGAGCUGAUGAGAAAACAACUUGAAAAGAGACAUGGCAAAAAGACUGGUGGUUCUGUGUUUAGUCAAGAAAAAGC